CCUACGGGGGGCAGCAGUGGGGAAUUUUGGACAAUGGGGGCAACCCUGAUCCAGCAAUGCCGCGUGCAGGAUGAAGGCCUUCGGGUUGUAAACUGCUUUUGUACGGAGCGAAAAGGCUUCCACUAAUACUGGAGGCUCAUGACGGUACCGUAAGAAUAAGCACCGGCUAACUACGUGCCAGCAGCCGCGGUAAU
rnacentral:rRNA from 1 species